CCUACGGGAGGCAGCAGUAGGGAAUCUUCGGCAAUGGACGAAAGUCUGACCGAGCAACGCCGCGUGAGUGAAGAAGGUUUUCGGAUCGUAAAACUCUGUUGUUAGAGAAGAACAAGGAUGAGAGUAACUGUUCAUCCCUUGACGGUAUCUAACCAGAAAGCCACGGCUAACUACGUGCCAGCAGCCGCGGUAAUACGUAGGUGGCAAGCGUUGUCCGGAUUUAUUGGGCGUAAAGCGAGCGCAGGCGGUUUCUUAAGUCUGAUGUGAAAGCCCCCGGCUCAACCGGGGAGGGUCAUUGGAAACUGGGAGACUUGAGUGCAGAAGAGGAGAGUGGAAUUCCAUGUGUAGCGGUGAAAUGCGUAGAUAUAUGGAGGAACACCAGUGGCGAAGGCGGCUCUCUGGUCUGUAACUGACGCUGAGGCUCGAAAGCGUGGGGAGCAAACAGGAUUAGAUACCCUAGUAGUC
rnacentral:rRNA from 1 species